rnacentral:lncRNA from 1 species
AAUGUAUAUCACACGUCUCAAUUCAGACAAGCUCUUUUCAAUCUUCUAAAUUUAUUUUAAUGAAUUAUUCUUUUAUAAAACAAUAAUAUAGCACUUUCUAGAUAAUAAUUUUUCUAGUAUUAUGCACACAGACAAAAUUCAAACGAUCCAAAUGCUCUUGUAUGCAAUUUCUGCAGAAAGCCUACGAAAGGAGGGAUAUAUUGGGCCAAGCAACAUCUUGUUGGAGGACACCACAAUGCCAAAGCUUGUCGGAAAUGACCCUAACGCGCCAAGAAGGAGGUAAGGGAAUACAUGGCAAGCAAAGGAGCAAAAAUAACAAGCUAAUUUAUUGGAAUAUUAUGCUGCUGAUGAUGACGACGACGAUGAGGAUGAACAUGAUAUUGUGAAGGUGGAUCGUCGUGGAAAGGGGCCU